GAUGAACUCUGGCGGCGUGCCUAAUACAUGCAAGUCGAGCGAACAGAUGAGGAGCUUGCUCCUCUGACGUUAGCGGCGGACGGGUGAGUAACACGUGGAUAACCUACCUAUAAGACUGGGAUAACUUCGGGAAACCGGAGCUAAUACCGGAUAAUAUAUUGAACCGCAUGGUUCAAUAGUGAAAGACGGUUUUGCUGUCACUUAUAGAUGGAUCCGCGCCGCAUUAGCUAGUUGGUAAGGUAACGGCUUACCAAGGCAACGAUGCGUAGCCGACCUGAGAGGGUGAUCGGCCACACUGGAGCUGAGACACGGUCCAGACUCCUACGGGAGGCAGCAGUAGGGAAUCUUCCGCAAUGGGCGAAAGCCUGACGGAGCAACGCCGCGUGAGUGAUGAAGGUCUUCGGAUCGUAAAACUCUGUUAUUAGGGAAGAACAAAUGUGUAAGUAACUAUGCACGUCUUGACGGUACCUAAUCAGAAAGCCACGGCUAACUACGUG
rnacentral:rRNA from 1 species